rnacentral:lncRNA from 10 species
CCCAAUGUGGGCCUCUUUUGAUGGGCAGUUUUUGCUCUGGGGUUUCUCAUCGGCCUGGCCUUGCUAUUUCAGACCUUGAUUGUAGUCUGAGGCUUUUCCUACUCAAACCUCCUUCACUCCUUUGUGAUCUGAAGAGGGCCUAAACUGACAGAGGAUGUAAGAAUUCAGAAGAAUUUUGUGGUACUCAAUUGCAGGAAGUGGAGCUGGAAUUCCUGGGAAGGGAAACUUUUGUCCAAACAGCAAGUGUGGAGAAAGUUUUUUUGCUCAGAUAUGGAAGAGACUGCAGCCUGCAACAAACAAUGAGGAAGAGGAUUUAUGAAUGUAGCUUCCUAUGUCAACUUUAAUGAAU